AGAACGAACGCUGGCGGCAUGCCUAACACAUGCAAGUCGAACGCUUUGCCGGUUUCGGCCGGCAAGGAGUGGCGCACGGGUGAGUAGCGCGUGGGAACCUGCCCUGUUGUGGGGGAUAACCGAGGGAAACUUCGGCUAAUACCGCAUAAGCCGGUUGUCUUGAAAGAGAUGGCCGGGAAAGAUUUAUCGCGACAGGAGGGGCCCGCGUCGGAUUAGCUAGUUGGCGGGGUAACGGCCCACCAAGGCUGUGAUCCGUAGCUGGUCUGAGAGGAUGAUCAGCCACACUGGGACUGAGACACGGCCCAGACUCCUACGGGAGGCAGCAGUGGGGAAUAUUGGACAAUGGGCGCAAGCCUGAUCCAGCAAUGCCGCGUGAGUGAUGAAGGCCUUAGGGUUGUAAAGCUCUUUCGCCCGCGACGAUGAUGACGGUAGCGGGAGAAGAAGCCCCGGCUAACUUCGUGCCAGCAGCCGC
rnacentral:rRNA from 1 species